GAUAAACGCUAGCGGCAGGCUUAACACAUGCAAGUCGAGGGGCAGCAUAGAUUGUAGCAAUACAAUUGGUGGCGACCGGCGCACGGGUGCGUAACGCGUAUGCAACCUACCCGUCACAGGGGGAUAAUCCGGAGAAAUCUGGUCUAAUACCCAUAACAUAUGGAUCGGCAUCGGUUCAUGUUGAAAUUUUCGGAGGUGACGGAUGGGCAUGCGUAGCAUUAGCUUGUUGGUGAGGUAACGGCUCACCAAGGCGACGAUGCUUAGGGGGACUGAGAGGUUUUCCCCCCACACUGGUACUGAGACACGGACCAGACUCCUACGGGAGGCAGCAGUGAGGAAUAUUGGUCAAUGGGCGCAAGCCUGAACCAGCCAUGCCGCGUGCAGGAUGACGGCUCUAUGAGUUGUAAACUGCUUUUGUACGAGGGUAAAGUGGGUUACGUGUAACCUUCUGAAGGUAUCGUACGAAUAAGGAUCGGCUAACUCCGUGCCAGCCGCCGCGGUAA
rnacentral:rRNA from 1 species